UUCCCCCUUUUUGGUUUUUUGAGACAGGGUCUCUGUUGCCCAGGCUGGAGUGCAGUGGCAUGAUCACAGGUCAUUGCAGCCUUGACCUCCUGGGACCACAGGUGCACGCUGCCUGGCUAAUCUGUUACUUUUUGGUACAGAUGGGGUCUAUGUUUCCCAGGCUGGUUUCAAUCAAUCCUUGCACCUCAGCCUACCAAAGUGCUGGGACUACAGGUGUGAGCAACCACACCCUGCCAAAAGUAUCUUUUAAAAGACAACAAAAUGCAAAGUCUCCUAUUAAUUAGAUAGUACAAAAUAAUUAUGCCCCCAGAAAAGGAUUCAAAUCACAACAGAGAAACCCAGAAAGAAAUGUAGAAAGUUUUAGGACAAGGGUUAAUUCCUACGCCAAUCAAAAAGAAUGCUUAUCUAUAGAAGUUUCUCCAUUAUAUUUAAAAACUAUAUUAAUAAGACUAUAUUCUAAGCAACCUACAGCAAUGCAAUUUUAUAAUUUAACGUAUUUAUUAAACAAGGCAAUUGUACAAAUGGAAACAUUUCCUAGUGUCUACUGGCACUCGAAAUCACUGUUACUAAUGGAUUAUAAACCAUCUUCCUCUAAUGAUGUAUCUUUACUGUAAAGUUUCUGGAAAACAUCUAUAAAUAAGUUAUAGUGGUCACCUACCAUAAUUGGUACAUUUUGACGGCAAGAAUUAGGUAACCUACGAUGUCAGUUUAAUGAUUCUUUUUCAUAAUGUUAAAAAAUGGAUGACACCACUAGCUAAAUUCUGCAGUGGUCCCUCAGCACAUACGGGGGACUGAUUCCAGGAACCCAUACCAAAAUCCAUGAAUGCUCAACUCUCUUAAAUAGCAUAGUGUUUGCACAUAACCUACGAACAUUCUCUCAUACACUGGUGUGUUGUUUUUUUUUUUUAUUGGGUUUUUUGGGAGUAUCUUCAAUCCUCAGCUAGCUGAAACUGUGAAUGCAGGACCCACAGUAGAGAGAGCCCACUGUAUUAGCUUUCUGUAGUUAUGAUACCUCAUUGCUUACUGGAUCAUUCUGCAUUUUCACUUACUGCUACUUUAUUGCUACUUGGCAAAAAUAUUCUACUCUUUUAUAGGAGAUUAAAGGAUUUUGGGACAGGCAAGGUGGCUCAUGCCAGUAAUCCUUGCACUUUGGGAAGCCGAGGUAGGAGGACUGCUUGAGACCAUGAGUUCAAGACCAACCUGCCAGGCACAGUGGCUCAUGCCUGUCAUCCCAGCACUUUGGGAGGCCAAGGCGGGCAGAUUACUUGAGGUCUGGAGUUCAAGACCGGCCUGGCCAACAUAACCCCAUCUCUACCAAAUAUACAAAAAUUAGUCAGGUGUGGUGGUACGCGCCUAUUAUCCCAGCUACUCGGGUGGCUGAGGCAGGAGAAUUGCCUGAGCCCAGGAGGCAGAGAUUACAGUGAGCCAAGAUCAUGCCCACACACUCCAGCGUGGGUGACAGAGACUUUGUCUCAAAAAACAAAUCAUAAAAACAAACUAAAGGAUUUCUAAGGUACCUCUUUCUAGAGCUCUAAAAUGCCCCUCCCCUCAAAUUGAACUGCUGAAACUAAAAUUUUGACAACUCAAAGGUUACCAGUAAAUCUGAAUUCCCUCUAAAACACAAAGCACUCUUUUAUGAAGAGAAAAAUCAGACAUGAUUUGAAAAUAUCUAAAUUCUCAAAUUCUCUUUGUAAAGGCUUAUAUUCUUUCAAGUAACAUAAUUUUGUACUGUUUAACUUCCAUCAUACUCAAUUAUGCAAACCAGUGGGGAAUAUUCACACAACAUAGAAAAGGAAGACUUGGCCGGGUGCAGUGGCACACGUCUGCAAUCCCAGCACUUUGCGGGGCUGAGGCAGGCAUAUCUUCUGAGGUCAAGAGUUCAUGACCAGCCUGGCCAACAUGGUGAAACCCUGUCUCUACUAAAAAUACAAAAUUUAGCCAGGUGUGGUGAUAAAUGCCUGUAAUCCCAGCUACCGGAGAGGCUGAGGCAGGAGAAUCGCUUGAACCUGGGAGGCGGAGGUUGCAGUGAGCCAAGAUCGCACCAUGGCACUCCUGCUGUCUAGGUGACAGAGUGAGA
rnacentral:lncRNA from 10 species